AGGAUCACAAAGCUAUAUAGGGCAAACAACACCUCUAACUAAGGAGUGCAGGAUGACGUCGGCAUCAACCAUGACGAACAGCCAGAACAUCGCCCAAGCCACACAAGCUCUAGAGCGAGACAUGCAUGCGUGGGACCUCUCAGACUCCCCACCGCCUGCGCUGCUAAUCCAGACCCCACCACCUCCUCCCCCCUCUCCUCAGCUGCUGCAGGAUCCUACAGGAUCAGAAGGAAGGUCACAGCAGGAGCUUUUUCAAACGCGUUUCCAAUCAGUUUUUACAAGAAGUGUAGCUCAUACGAUGGUAUAAAUGUAUUAUUUGCGAUACUUUAUAAAUAUGAAACUCUAAAGAUUUUGAGUUCAUGCAAAUUGUGAAACAAGAAUCUAAAUAUUUUGUGUCACAAUGAUUUCUAUAAAAGCAUGUUGUUUAUGGGCAUAAUGUAACAAAUCUUUUGUGGGCCCUAUUAAUGAUCAAUGGUGAUUGAAGAGGAAGCUUGAACCCAGGCUCCGGACAUCUUCAUGACAAGUGACAGCGCAGACAUCUACUAAUGAGAGAACACUGUGAUAUGAAGCAUCGUUAAAGUGUCACUUCAGUAAUGUUUUUAAUAGAUGUCUUUAAAACACUAAACUCUAAUCUCUGGGGCUUUAUUUUAAGUUUACAGAAUAUAACAUGUGGUAAGACGACGAGUUUUACUCCUCACAGGUCGUGUUAUGUGUAUCUAUUUAUCAUGUAUGCUACUUUGCUCUGUGGACUGUAAAAUGUUUCAUUGUGUUCAUAAAAUAAACCAAACUUUCGC
ensembl:lncRNA